rnacentral:rRNA from 1 species
AUUGAACGCUGGCGGCAUGCUUUACACAUGCAAGUCGAACGGUAACGGGUUAAGCUGACGAGUGGCGAACGGGUGAGUAAUGCAUCGGAACGUGCCCGAUCGUGGGGGAUAACGCAGCGAAAGCUGCGCUAAUACCGCAUACGAUCUGAGGAUGAAAGCGGGGGACCGUAAGGCCUCGCGCGAUCGGAGCGGCCGAUGUCAGAUUAGGUAGUUGGUGGGGUAAAGGCUCACCAAGCCAACGAUCUGUAGCUGGUCUGAGAGGACGACCAGCCACGCUGGGGCUGAGACACGGCCCAGACUCCUACGGGAGGCAGCAGGGGGGAAUUUUGGACAAUGGGCGAAAGCCUGAUCCAGCAAUGCCGCGUGCAGGAAGAAGGCCUUCGGGUUGUAAACUGCUUUUGUACGGAGCGAAAAGGCCCUCUCUAAUACAGGGGGUUUAUGACGGUACCGUAAGAAUAAGCACCGGCUAACUACGUGCCAGCCGCCGCAGUAA